GAUGAACGCUGGCGGCGUGCCUAAUACAUGCAAGUCGAGCGAACAGACGAGGAGCUUGCUCCUCUGACGUUAGCGGCGGACGGGUGAGUAACACGUGGAUAACCUACCUAUAAGACUGGGAUAACUUCGGGAAACCGGAGCUAAUACCGGAUAAUAUAUUGAACCGCAUGGUUCAAUAGUGAAAGACGGUUUUGCUGUCACUUAUAGAUGGAUCCGCGCCGCAUUAGCUAGUUGGUAAGGUAACGGCUUACCAAGGCGACGAUGCGUAGCCGACCUGAGAGGGUGAUCGGCCACACUGGAACUGAACCACGGUCCAGACUCCUACGGGAGGCAGCAGUAGGGAAUCUUCCGCAAUGGGCGAAAGCCUGACGGAGCAACGCCGCGUGAGUGAUGAAGGUCUUCGGAUCGUAAAACUCUGUUAUUAGGGAAGAACAAAUGUGUAAGUAACUAUGCACGUCUUGACGGUACCUAAUCAGAAAGCCACGGCUAACUACGUG
rnacentral:rRNA from 1 species